rnacentral:lncRNA from 1 species
ACAUUGGAGGAUAUGGAGGUCCUUUUUGGUAGUUUCAUUAAUUGGAGGUCUGCUUUGAAGGAGGAUAGCUUGAAGAAGAAAGCAGCUAGUAGUGAAAAUAAUGGUCAGAUUCAGUUGGGUACUGCUACUAACACUACUGUUACUAAAGCUUAGUUGAAGGAUAUUUUGGUAAAUCUACCUACUUGAUGAAAUGUUAGAUUAGUGUUUUUUUUUUUUUUUUUUUUUUUUUUUUUUUUUUUUUUUUUUUUAUGCUUGUUCUUACCUUAGUUGGGUGAGAUUCAGCCAAGUAAUGUUUGAAAUAUGAAAAUAUGGAAAGCUUGUAUGCAAGAAAAAGAAAUCCAACAAAAAAUCAAUUAAGAAGAAAGAGAUAUUAUUCUGUAUAUUUUUAAAAUCAAAUCAAAUCAAAUAAUAUAUCGAAUCAAUUCAGUUCAUUUGAGCUAAUUUGGUUGAUUUUUUAGUCGUUGUACAACUAUUUUAAGUAUAUAUUUUAGGUUUAUAAAUCAAAUUGAAUCG